rnacentral:rRNA from 1 species
CACGUAGGGUGCGAGCGUUGUCCGGAAUUAUUGGGCGUAAAGAGCUCGUAGGCGGUUUGUCGCGUCGAAUGUGAAAACCCGGGGCUCAACCCCGGGCCUGCAUUCGAUACGGUCAGACUAGAGUUCGGUAGGGGAGUCUGGAAUUCCUGGUGUAGCGGUGAAAUGCGCAGAUAUCAGGAGGAACACCGGUGGCGAAGGCGGGACUCUGGGCCGAUACUGACGCUGAGGCGCGAAAGCGUGGGGAGCAAACAGG